rnacentral:tRNA from 4 species
GCGGGUGUCGUAUAGUGGUAGUACGGAGGUCUCCAAAACCUCUAGUGGGGGUUCGAUUCCCUCCACCCGUGCAA